CCUGACUGCUUCUAAUUUUAUAGCAAGGCAAUGACUCCACACAGCACAAAGUUUGAGAACAAGUCAUACAAUAUAAUGUCCUUAGAAAGGUCUCGGUCACUCUGUUAUGGUCCUCCCAACCCUCUAUUUUCAAUAGAAGCAGCAAAAGUGGGGUACUGCCCUAAAUCUUGGCCAGAGCUGUUUACGAUAAUAACUCUGAAGAGUGAUAGCUGGUUCCGCAGCGCUGGCGAUUUCUGUGGCCGCCUAUAUCGAUCGGGGGGUCCUAAUGAGCAGCAGCGGAGCUGUGGCUAAUGGUGUUGUGUCUGGUGUCCGUGGUAAACGCCCACGUUGAGAUUAUCAUUCCCAGGGGGGACUGAGAAAGGUUUUGCCAGCCCAAGCCCUCGGGGUGUGAGCGACACACUUCAGGGGUCAAGGAUCUGUCGCUGGGGGAUUCGACUGAAGUGUGAAGAGGGGUGUAUGCAGGAGACAUGCUGAGAAUUCUAAAUAGUCCCCCAGCCAGCUCCCCGGGCCCCCGAAGAGGAACCAGCGGCAUGAUGUCACACACCUGUUUGGCUGGAGGCUGCGGCCCGGCGAUGCUUGCAGCCGUGGGUGUCGCGCUGGCACCCCUCGGCCUCCCCCAACCCCACCUCACCCCACCCUUGUCGCUGCCUGCUACGCCCCGUGGAUGUGUCAAAAUGGCAGAUGAUGGUUGGGGUGUGUGCAGCUGCUUGGGAAGAGGAGUGCCAAGGGCGCUCAUUUCCUGCGGUCAGUGCAAAGCCAAGAUAUUCCUGAGGACUGAUUAGGCUCAUGCUUGUACUUUCAAAAUGCUGAUUAUUGCAGGGACCCGACAGGCCUUGUGUUUUUCUCCAAGCAUUCUGGGGAUGUGAGUCCGAAAGUAGCCCCAUGGUGCCGUGACCCCUGACCU
rnacentral:lncRNA from 1 species